CACGUAGGGGGCAAGCGUUGUCCGGAAUCAUUGGGCGUAAAGAGCUCGUAGGCGGCUCAGUAAGUCGGGUGUGAAACCUCCAGGCUCAACCUGGAGACGCCACCCGAUACUGCUGUGGCUAGAGUCCAGUAGGGGAGUGUGGAAUUCCCGGUGUAGCGGUGAAAUGCGCAGAUAUCGGGAGGAACACCAGCGGCGAAGGCGGCACUCUGGGCUGGUACUGACGCUGAGGCACGAAGGUCAGGGGAGCAAACGGG
rnacentral:rRNA from 1 species